CAGGCUCCCGCAUGUAUGUGCGGCCAACUGUCAUGGGGCUGUCUUCUCAAUGUCCUUCGUUUAUCCGUUUUGGUUCAACGGAGUGCCUCGGAUUUGGUUGCCUGUGCGGUCAUACCUUUGUUGGUAUCACACAUGUGUCUCGUUUUUUGUUCGCUUGCUUGUGAUGCUAUGCAUCCAUGAUCGGCCGAGGGUUGGCAAAUUCCAUGCGCUGCGAUGCACUGUGUGUGUGGAAUGCUUAUUGGUCUUUUGUCGGGUCUCACGGAUAUGUCCGUGUUGAGCGACAGCAGGCUCAUGGUGUUGCCCAUACAAAUAAAUUUGUGAGUUUUUGGACAUGGCCUUGGGAUUCAUGUUGAGGGAGUCACUCCGCAUGUUGUGUGUAUGUGCAUAUCCUUAUAGACCAAUGAAUGCGAUUGCCGGGUGCAUCGGCAGGGGCG
rnacentral:misc_RNA from 1 species